rnacentral:rRNA from 1 species
UACGAGGGGGGCGAGCGUUGUUCGGAAUUAUUGGGCGUAAAGGGUGCGUAGGCGGCCUGGCAAGUCUGAUGUGAAAUCCCUGGGCUCAACCCAGGGCCUGCAUCGGAAACUGUCGGGCUUGAGUAUGGGAGAGGUGAGUGGAAUUUCCGGUGUAGCGGUGAAAUGCGUAGAUAUCGGAAGGAACACCUGUGGCGAAAGCGGCUCACUGGACCAUUACUGACGCUGAGGCACGAAAGCUAGGGGAGCAAACAGG